rnacentral:lncRNA from 1 species
CCUGAGAUCGUCCAAUUUGUCCCAUACCCCCCCAAAAAAAAGCUCACUACUACUGCAAUUUUAAUUUUUUUUAGUUUUAGCCGUCUUAAUACUGCAAUUUACUUGGCCUAUUUCUUUUUCGACUUCCCUCGUUCUCUCGUUCUGCCCUCUUUGCUCUUUGCAAUUGUCAUUUGUUUUCUGUAAGGCAAGAUGGCCUUGCCAGUCUCUGCAAUUGGAUUUGAAGGUUAUGAAAAGAGGCUUGAAGUUUCCUUUUUUGAGCCUGGUGUCUUUGCUGAUCCUGGAGGUAGGGGCCUCCGCUCUCUGUCAAAACAUCAAUUGGAUGAAAUACUGAAACCUGCGGAAUGCACAAUUGUUUCUUCGUUGUCAAAUGAAUAUCUUGAUUCAUAUGUCCUCUCAGAAUCAAGCCUCUUUGUGUACCCUUACAAAGUUAUUAUCAAAACUUGUGGGACUACCAAGCUGCUUCUUUCAAUCCCUG